CACGUAGUUAGCCGUCCCUUUCUGGUAAGAUACCGUCACAGUGUGAACUUUCCACUCUCACACUUCGUUCUUCUCUUACAACAGAGCUUUACGAUCCGAAAACCUUCUUCACUCACGCGGCGUUGCUCGGCCAGACUUCCGUCCAUUGCCGAAGAUUCCCUACUGCUGCCUCCCGUAGGAGUCUGGGCCGUGUCUCAGUCCCAGUGUGGCCGAUCACCCUCUCAGGUCGGCUAUGUAUCGUCGCCUUGGUGAGCCCGUUACCCCACCAACUAGCUAAUACAACGCAGGUCCAUCUGGUAGUGAAUGCAAUUGCAUCUUUUAAGCAAAUGUCAUGCAACAUCUGCUGUUAUGCGUAUUAGCUAUCGUUUCCAAUGUUAUCCCCCGCUACCAGGCAGGUUACCACGCGUUACUCACCCGUUCGCAACUCAUCCAGAGAAGCAAGCUCCUCCUUCAGCGUUCUACUUGCAUGUAUAGGCACGCCGC
rnacentral:rRNA from 1 species